GAUUCUCUUCAGCAUUCACUUACCAGCUGUGGGAACUGAUUGUUACCAUGCAGUAUGGAAAUGGGGAGGAAUGAACAUAGCCUAGCACAUAAAAUCUGAAAUGCACAAGUCUCAUGAAAAUUUGAUAAAGUAUACGUAACUGUUCGUGUAUUGUCCUUCCAAUAUUACUCAGGUAAAUUCACCUUUGCCUUGGUUUCUGACAAUGUUUAGCAAUUGAAAGAUUUGAUCGGUGUAUAUGGCAAAGAGCAUGUGUCAUCCCCUUCAUCAAUGAUUUGGUUUUGGGUACCUAUUGACCUAUUGAUCGCUUAGGGAAGUAACUUUCCAUGUGUUGGGAAUGUCAGCAUGGAAGUGGAUGUUGCAAGAGGGAUUCUGCUAAGUGGCAUCAUACAUUAGACUUCUUAAACAGCCUCCUUAAAAUUAAUAUGAUUGUAUGAACUGAAGGGAUACAAUUGCCCUCACAUCUUGCUCUUUCCUUUUUAGAGAGGACAGUCUUCAAAUUCAAGCUAGGUCUACCCUUAUUCCACACAAGAGCACUGUGCCCUUGUACCCUCUGCACUUGCAAGUGAGGAUUCAAAUUCUGAGGCAGUGUUGGCAGCCCAGUCACCUGGCAUCAACCCUGCGGUCCAGAGGAUCACUAUUCCCAGAGAGGACAGUCUUCAAAUUCAAGCUAGGUCUCCCCUUAUUCUACACAAGAGCGCUGUGCCCUUGUAUCCUCUGCACUUGCAAGUAAGGAUUCAAAUUCUGAGGCAGUGUUGGCAGCCCAG